AAUAUUGGACAAUGGGCGAAAGCCUGAUCCAGCCAUACGGCGUGUGUGAAGAAGGUCUUCGCAUAGCACAGCACUCUAUGUUGUGCGGAAGGGCAGUAAGUUAAUACCUUGCUGUUUUGACGUUACCGACAGAUCAAGCACCGCCUAACUUAGUGCCAGCAGCCGCGGUAAUACGAAGGGUGCAAGCGUUAAUGGGAAUUACUGGGCGUAAAGCGCGCGUAGGUGGUUUGUUAAGUUGGAAGUGAAAGCCCCGGGCUCAACCUGGGAACUGCUUUCAAAACUGGCAAGCUAGAGUAUGGCAGAGGGUGGUGGAAUUUCCUGUGUAGAGGUGAAAUGCGUAGAUAUAGGAAGGAACACCAGUGGCGAAGGCGACUACCUGGACUGAUACUGACACUGAGGUGCGAAAGCGUGGGGAGCAAACAGG
rnacentral:rRNA from 1 species